UGCAAGUCGAGCGAGGACUUCGGUUCUAGCGGCGGACGGGUGAGUAACGCGUGGGAAUGUGCCCUUCUCUACGGAAUAGCCCUGGGAAACUGGGAGUAAUACCGUAUACGCCCUUUUGGGGAAAGAUUUAUCGGAGAAGGAUCAGCCCGCGUUGGAUUAGGUAGUUGGUGGGGUAAUGGCCUACCAAGCCGACGAUCCAUAGCUGGUUUGAGAGGAUGAUCAGCCACACUGGGACUGAGACACGGCCCAGACUCCUACGGGAGGCAGCAGUGGGGAAUCUUAGACAAUGGGGGCAACCCUGAUCUAGCCAUGCCGCGUGAGUGAUGAAGGCCUUAGGGUUGUAAAGCUCUUUCAGCUGGGAAGAUAAUGACGGUACCAGCAGAAGAAGCCCCGGCUAACUCCGUGCCAGCAGCCGCGGUAAUACGGAGGGGGCUAGCGUUGUUCGGAAUUACUGGGCGUAAAGCGCACGUAGGCGGACCGGAAAGUCAGAGGUGAAAUCCCAGGGCUCAACCUUGGAACUGCCUUUGAAACUAUCGGUCUGGAGUUCGAGAGAGGUGAGUGGAAUUCCGAGUGUAGAGGUGAAAUUCGUAUAUAUUC
rnacentral:rRNA from 1 species